rnacentral:rRNA from 1 species
AGAGUUUGAUCCUGGCUCAGGACGAACGCUGGCGGCGUGCUUAACACAUGCAAGUCGAACGGGGCUCGCUACUUCGGUGGUGGGUCUAGUGGCGAACGGGUGAGUAACACGUGGGCAACCUGCCCCCGGCUCUGGGGUAACUCCAAGAAAUUGGGGCUAAUACCGGAUGUGACCGCUGGCCGCAUGGUCUGGUGGUGGAAAGGGUUUCCGGCUGGGGAUGGGCCCGCGGCCUAUCAGCUUGUUGGUGGGGUAAUGGCCUACCAAGCCGUUGACGGGUAGCUGGUCUGUGAGGACGAUCAGCCAGACUGGGACUGCGACACGGCCCAGACACCUACGGGUGGCAGCAGCGAGGAAUCUUCCACAAUGGGCGCAAGCCUGAUGGAGCAACGCCGCGUGAGUGAUGAAGGCCUUCGGGUUGUAAAACUCUGUCUUCUGUGACGAACAAGCAUGUGAGUGGAAAGCUCAUGCCCUGACGGUAACAGAGGAGGAAGCCACGGCUAACUACGUGCCAGCAGCCGCGGUAAUACGUAGGUGGCAAGCGUUGUCCGGAAUCACUGGGCGUAAAGCGCGCGCAGGCGGCGAUCUACGUCUGGGGUGAAAGCCCGGAGCUCAACUCCGGGACUGCCUUGGAUACGGGAUCGCUUGAGGAUUGGAGAGGCAAGGGGAAUUCCACGUGUAGCGGUGAAAUGCGUAGAUAUGUGGAGGAACACCUGUGGCGAAGGCGCCUUGCUGGCCAAUUUCUGACGCUGAGGCGCGAAAGCGUGGGGAGCAAACAGGAUUAGAUACCCCCGUAGUCC